UCUGUCUCAAUGCUCGCUCCUUCGCUGGUUUAUCUGAGCGCGAAUGUGUGACCACGGUCAGUGUGCCGCCUUGUGCCCUCACUGGGUCUGCCCGUCGCAACCCCACGCCUGGGAUCUGCCAACCACCACCUGCACUCCUGGGAUGUUUGCUGGCACUCCCGAGAGGAUGAAUUAUGCGGGGGCCACACUGUUGCAAUGCCAUUGCCCUAACUCACCUGAUGAGACCUCGAGUCCCUGUGGAAGGAACAAGCCUCCAGCAUUGGGAGUUGACCUUUAAUGGUAGUUCCUUAAACUUCAUUGGAAACGCAGGUCUGCAGGAGAGUAGAACCUGACUUUGGGUUCAUCUGCUGGGCCCAGGGCGGCUCAGAGGUGAGGCUUCGGUUUGGUGGUGUCAGGCACAGCGUGAACUACCCUCGGUUUUCCUUUUUUUGUUUAGCAGGUGGUCAAUAAAAAUUUCUAGACCUUUGAACAAAUAAAUGUUUUAAGGCAGUUUGUGGUAAUUGUUAGGGCAUCCCUAGAAAAUGAACACAGCAGGGUUCUUAUAAAAAGUAAAUUAGUGAACACAGGUGAAGCACUUAGGGGACUGGCACAGAGUGUUU